CUGCGAUAGGGAUGGUAACGGUUAUCAUUUUUGUCUUGACUGCAACGUUCGUGAUGAAGCCUAAUCAUCAUAAGACAAAAAGAUAUGAGUGUACAGCCCGGCCCGAG
rnacentral:sRNA from 1 species